CCUUACCUGGGCUUGACAUGCCGCGAGUAGGAAACUGAAAGGGGACCGACCGGUUCAGUCCGGAAGCGGAACAGGUGCUGCAUGGCUGUCGUCAGCUCGUGCCGUGAGGUGUUGGGUUCAGUCCCGCAACGAGCGCAACCCUCGCCCUCUGUUGCCAUCGGGUCAAGCCGGGCACUCUGAGGGGACUGCCAGCGACAAGUUGGAGGAAGGAGAGGAUGACGUCAAGUCAUCAUGGCCCUUAUGCCCAGGGCCACACACGUGCAACAAUGGCCGGUACAGACGGAAGCGAGACCGAGAGGUGGAGCAAAUCCGAGAAAGCCGGUCCCAGUUCGGAUUGAGGUCUGCAACUCGACCUCAUGAAGUCGGAAUCGCUAGUAAUCGCGUAUCAGCACGACGCGGUGAAUACGUUCCCGGGCCUUGUACACACCGCCCGUCACACCACGAAAGUCUGUUGUACCUGAAGUCGGUGCCCCAACCGGAAACGGAGGGAGCCGCCCAAGGUAUGGCCGGUAAU
rnacentral:rRNA from 1 species